rnacentral:rRNA from 1 species
UACGAAGGGGGCUAGCGUUGCUCGGAAUUACUGGGCGUAAAGGGAGCGUAGGCGGGUUAUCAAGUUGGAGGUGAAAGCCCAGGCUCAACCUUGGAAUUGCCUUCAAAACUGAUAACCUAGAGGAUGAUAGAGGUAAGUGGAACUCCGAGUGUAGAGGUGAAAUUCGUAGAUAUUCGGAAGAACACCAGUGGCGAAGGCGGCUUACUGGUCCGGUACUGACGCUGAGGUGCGAGAGCGUGGGGGAGCGAACCGGAUUAGAAACCCGUUGUAAG